UCAACCGAGAUUCCGUUAGUAGUGGCGAGCGAACGCGGACCAGGCCAGUGCCUGAUCAUAAAUUAGCAGAACAUUCUGGAAAGUUUGACCAUAGCGGGUGACAGUCCCGUAUGCGAAAAUGAUUGAUCAGGACUUGAGUAGGGCGGGACACGUGAAAUCCUGUCUGAACAUAGGGGGACCACCCUCUAAGCCUAAAUACUCGUACAUGACCGAUAGUGAACCAGUACCGUGAGGGAAAGGUGAAAAGCACCCCGAUGAGGGGAGUGAAACAGUACCUGAAACCGGAUGCCUACAAGCAGUGGGAGGGUCCUUGAGACCUGACCGCGUACCUCUUGCAUAAUGGGUCUGUGACUUAGUGUAUCAAGCAAGCUUAAGCCGUUAGGUGUAGGCGCAGCGAAAGCGAGUCUGAAUAGGGCGCCAUAGUUUGAUGCAUUAGACCCGAAACCCGGCGAUCUAUGCAUGACCAGGUUGAAGGUGCGGUAACACGCACUGGAGGACCGAACCGGUGAAUGUUGAAAAAUUCUCGGAUGAGUUGUGUUUAGGGGUGAAAGGCCAAUCAAGCCGGGAAAUAGCUGGUUCUCCGCGAAAUCUAUUUAGGUAGAGCGUCGGAUGAUUACCGUUGGGGGUAGAGCACUGGAUGGAUGCGGGGGUCGCGAGAUCUACCAAUUCUAACCAAACUCCGAAUACCAACGUGUUUAAUCCGGCAGACAGACGGCGGGUGCUAAGGUCCGUCGUCAAAAGGGAAACAGCCCUAACCUACAGCUAAGGUCCCCAAGUCAUCACUAAGUGGUAAAGCAUGUGGGAAUCCCAAAACAACCAGGAGGUUGGCUUAGAAGCAGCCAUCCUUUAAAGAAAGCGUAACAGCUCACUGGUCUAAAUAAGAGAUCCUGCGGCGAAGAUGUAACGGGGCUAAAGUGAUGCACCGAAGCUUAGGGUUCAGUCUUUGACUGAGCGGUAGCGGAGCGUUCCGUAGGCCGUUGAAGCGGAAGGGUAACCGACCGUGGAGGUAUCGGAAGUGCGAAUGCAGACAUGAGUAGCGAUUAAGAGGGUGAGAUGCCCUCUCGCCGAAAUUCCAAGGGUUCCUGCUUAAAGCUAAUCUGAGCAGGGUAAGCCGGCCCCUAAGACGAGCCCGAAGGGGGUAGUCGAUGGGAACCACGUUAAUAUUCGUGGGCCUGAAGAUGUGUGACGGAUCGUGGAAGUUGUGUGGCCUUAUUGGAUUGGUCAUGCAGCCAAGCGGUUCCAGGAAAUAGCCUCUUCAUAUAGACCGUACCCGAAACCGACACAGGUGGUCAGGUAGAGUAUACCAAGGCGCUUGAGAGAAGUAUCCUGAAGGAACUCGGCAAAUUGCCUCCGUACCUUCGGAAGAAGGAGGCCCAACCUUUGCGCAAGCAAUUGUUGGGGGCACAGGCCAGGGGGUAGCGACUGUUUAGCAAAAACACAGGGCUCUGCUAAGUCGGCUUCAAGACGACGUAUAGGGCCUGACGCCUGCCCGGUGCUCGAAGGUUAAGAGGAGGAGUGCAAGCUCCGAAUUGAAGCCCGAGUGAACGGCGGCCGUAACACUAUAACGGUCCUAAGGUAGCGAAAUUAACAGCCCAAAGUUCCGACCUGCACGGAAAUGGCGUAACGACUUCCCCACUGUCUC
rnacentral:rRNA from 1 species